GACGAACGCUGGCGGCGUGCUUAACACAUGCAAGUCGAACGGAAAGGCCCUGCUUUUGUGGGGUGCUCGAGUGGCGAACGGGUGAGUAACACGUGAGUAACCUGCCCUUGACUUUGGGAUAACUUCAGGAAACUGGGGCUAAUACCGGAUAGGAGCUCCUGUUGCAUGGUGGGGGUUGGAAAGUUUCGGCGGUUGGGGAUGGCAGCGCGGCUUUUCAGCUUGUUGGUGGGGUAGUGGCGUAACAAGGCUUUGACGGGUAGCCGGCCUGAGAGGGUGACCGGCCACAUUGGGACUGAGAGAGGGCCCAGAGUCCUACGGGAGGCAGAAGUGGGGAAUAUUGCACAAUGGGCGGAAGCCUGAUGCAGCAACGCCGCGUGCGGGAUGACGGCCUUCGGGUUGUAAACCGCUUUCGCCUGUGACGAAGCGUGAGUGACGGUAAUGGGUAAAGAAGCACCGGCUAACUACGUG
rnacentral:rRNA from 1 species